AAGGAGCAAGGCAGCUUCUCUACCGCCAUGGCCCCUACUCUCGACGAAGCAGAGGUUGCGUCUGAUGAAGUACAAGCACAAGUAGGAUAAGACUCAUGAUGAGCUGUGGAACUCCAUGGACCAGCAGAACUCCAACUGCCGGGUUCGAAAAAAAUCUUGGCGGACAAGGACCGCGAGAUUGACGAGCUGAAGGCUAAAUUCGACUCAGGCGAGUCUGAGGGCGUCCUGCGCAGUGAGAAUGAGGAGCUCUUCAAAGAGCUUGAGUGGAUCAAUACUAAGCACAAGGAUGAGCUCAAGGCGAUGGAGACUUCCUCCGAGCUUGCCAUGAACAAGCAGCUCCAAGAGAUAACCUCGCUGAAGACAGCCUUAGAGAAAGCCCAGAAACUCGCCGAGGAGCACGCAGCUGAUGCCGAAGCUCGCCGGGAAUAGUUGGUGGAGUACGAGAAAGAGCGCAGUGAGCUCUAAUCGAAAAUCCUCGUUCCUUGAGGCCUAUCUGACGAGGCUUCAUAGAUUUGUUGCUGCCUUCGCAUCCACCACUUGCGGAAGCUCCUGGCGCAGUACUUCAUCACGGUAAGAAUUUCCUUGCCGAGUUGGGCAUGGUUACUGUUGGCACGGACACCAUCAGUUCCUUGGUGGAAAAGCUCCAGCAUGCCACCGGCUUGGUGAAUUACUGGAGGGAGUCUUCUGCAUGAGGUGGUUCUACUCUGGCCUUGGUGCUUCUCCAUGGUCAUCAGAAGGAGGCCAACCUCUACAGUAUCACGGCAGGAAUGCCUUGCUAAGCGUGAGGGCGAGCCCAUCACAAAGGGCCAGAUGGAGGAGGUGGCAGAGCUAUUCGGGUGCCAUGUUGCAUGCAUGGUGAAUCUGCUCAAGUUCUGCAAGCACGUCGAGCUCCCGCCUAACACUGGUGGAAAAAGGGCCAAUAGUCACGGUUCGGAACGUCCAUUAAUACCGGU